AACUGCAUGCGCUGCUUACCAUGCAAGUCGAACGGUGAAGCCCAGCUUGCUGGGUGGAUCAGUGGCGAACGGGUGAGUAACACGUGAGCAAUCUGCCCUUGACUCUGGGAUAAGCGCUGGAAACGGCGUCUAAUACUGGAUAUGAACUGUGGCCGCAUGGUCGGCAGUUGGAAAGAAUUUCGGUCAAGGAUGAGCUCGCGGCCUAUCAGCUUGUUGGUGAGGUAAUGGCUCACCAAGGCGUCGACGGGUAGCCGGCCUGAGAGGGUGACCGGCCACACUGGGACUGAGACACGGCCCAGACUCCUACGGGAGGCAGCAGUGGGGAAUAUUGCACAAUGGGCGCAAGCCUGAUGCAGCAACGCCGCGUGAGGGAUGACGGCCUUCGGGUUGUAAACCUCUUUUAGCAGGGAAGAAGCGAAAGUGACGGUACCUGCAGAAAAAGCACCGGCUAACUACGUGCCAGCAGCCGCGGUAAUACGUAGGGUGCAAGCGUUAUCCGGAAUUAUUGGGCGUAAAGAGCUCGUAGGCGGUUUGUCGCGUCUGCUGUGAAAACUGGAGGCUCAACCUCCAGCCUGCAGUGGGUACGGGCAGACUAGAGUGCGGUAGGGGAGAUUGGAAUUCCUGGUGUAGCGGUGGAAUGCGCAGAUAUCAGGAGGAACACCGAUGGCGAAGGCAGAUCUCUGGGCCGUAACUGACGCUGAGGAGCGAAAGGGUGGGGAGCAAACAGGCUUAGAUACCCUGGUAGUCCACCCCGUAAACGUUGGGAACUAGUUGUGGGGUCCAUUCCACGGAUUCCGUGACGCAGCUAACGCAUUAAGUUCCCCGCCUGGGGAGUACGGCCGCAAGGCUAAAACUCAAAGGAAUUGACGGGGACCCGCACAAGCGGCGGAGCAUGCGGAUUAAUUCGAUGCAACGCGAAGAACCUUACCAAGGCUUGACAUAUACGAGAACGGGCCAGAAAUGGUCAACUCUUUGGACACUCGUAAACAGGUGGUGCAUGGUUGUCGUCAGCUCGUGUCGUGAGAUGUUGGGUUAAGUCGAA
rnacentral:rRNA from 1 species